rnacentral:rRNA from 1 species
UGCGAAAGCAGGGGGUGCCCGCAAGGGAGCGCGGAGACAGGUGGUGCAUGGCUGUCGUCAGCUCGUGACGUGAGAUGUUGGGUUAAGUCCCGCAACGAGCGCAACCCUCACCCCUUGUUGCCACCAGGUCAGGCUGGGCACUCUAGGGGAACUGCCCCGGUCAACGGGGAGGAAGGUGGGGACGACGUCAAGUCAUCAUGCCCCUUACGCCCUGGGCUACACACGUGCUACAAUGGCCGGUACAAAGGGAUGCCACACCGUGAGGUAGAGCUAAACCCAAAAAGCCGGUCUAAGUUCAGAUUGGAGUCUGCAACUCGACUCCAUGAAGGAGGAAUCGCUAGUAAUCGCGUAUCAGCACGACGCGGUGAAUACGUUCCCGGGCCUUGUACACACCGCCCGUCACACCACGAAAGCCAG